AGGAAUCAACUUACUACUCUUGUGGUCAGGCCCAAAUGAGCCAUGGAAUGUGAUUAGACUGUUCGAGGCCCAUAAGGAGCCCGUGAAUUCGGUGGGUCGCCGCAAUGCGAGUUGGGCUCGAUUCAAGCACCAGGUGCAACUCGGAAAUCCUAUCCAUCUUCCGGAAGGUGGAUAGGCUCUUAACCUUCCAAUCUUUAAGAUUCGUGCGGCUGCUCUCAACCGCACGAUCUUCUUUCCCCUUCUUUAUGUCGCCUCCCCGCCUCUCUCUCUC
rnacentral:lncRNA from 1 species